GCGUCGACCCAUAGCCGGCCUGAGAGGGUGACGGCCACAUUGGGACUGAGACACGGCCCAGACUCCUACGGGAGGCAGCAGUAGGGAAUAUUGCACAAUGGGGGAAACCCUGAUGCAGCGACGCCGCGUGAAGGAAGAAGUAUCUCGGUAUGUAAACUUCUAUCAGCAGGGAAGACAAUGACGGUACCUGACUAAGAAGCCCCGGCUAACUACGUGCCAGCAGCCGCGGUAAUACGUAGGGGGCAAGCGUUAUCCGGAUUUACUGGGUGUAAAGGGAGCGUAGACGGACGGGCAAGUCUGAAGUGAAAGGCAGGGGCUCAACCCCUGGACUGCAUUU
rnacentral:rRNA from 1 species